rnacentral:misc_RNA from 1 species
CCGGGCGUAUGACCACGCUAGAUGUUCUGAGAUGAGCGACGCAGUGUGAAGAAGGCCUUAUGCUUGUAAGCACUUUAAGCCAGGAGGACGCUACUUUAGUUAAUACCUAGAGAUAGUGGACGUUACUCGCAGAAUAAGCACCGGCUAACUCUGUGCCAGCAGCCGCGGUAAUACAGAGGGUGCGAGCGUUAAUCGGAUUUACUGGGCGUAAAGCGUGCGUAGGCGGCUUAUUAAGUCGGAUGUGAAAUCCCCGAGCUUAACUUGGGAAUUGCAUUCGAUACUGGUGACCUAAAGUAUGGGAGAGGAUGGUAGAAUUCCAGGUGUAGCGGUGAAAUGCGUAGAGAUCUGGAGGAAUACCGAUGGCGAAGGCCGCCAUCUGGCCUAAUACUGACGCUGAGGUACGAAAGCCUGGGGAGCAAAUGAGAUUAAAUCCUGUGGUAGUCCAUGCCGUAAACGAUGUCUAUUAGCCGUUGGGGCCUUUGAGGCUUUAGUGGGGCACCAAAGGCAAUAAAUAUACCUUACGGCGAGUACGGCCGCGAGAUCUAAUCUCGUAUGAUUUGCCGGCGGCCCGCCCUCACCGUCAGUAUUGGGCCUUAUGUCUGUGCUCGCCAUAGAUAUUUCCUCUGGAUCUCUACACAUUUCACUUUCCACAGGAGAGAUUCUACCCUCCUCUGACUUACUAUAGCGCAGCAGUAUGGAAGGCGAUCUCCCAGGUCAGGCACAGGGAGUUCACAAUCCGAGUUAAUAGGCGACCACUUUCUCUUUUAUGCCAAGUAUAUCCGAAUGGACCCUCGCACGCACUGUAUUAGCGCAACUGCUGGACAGGAGGUAGCCGGUGCUAUUCUGGGGUACUCCACAUGCCUCAAGGAUUGACUAAAGGGGCUCCUCCUCGGUGAAGUGCUACAAUCGUAAGCCUCCUCAAACCGCCGCAUGGCUGGAUAAGAUCCCCCCUGGCCAUAUACCCAUGUGCUCAGGCAGGAGAUACAG